rnacentral:rRNA from 1 species
CCCUUAGAUGUUCUGGGCUGCACGCGUGCUACACUGAUAUUGCCAAUAUGUCAUUCUUAUCCGAAAUGGAUUGGGUAAUCAAGUAAUGAAAUUUCAUGCUUGGAAUCGGUAAUUGUAAUUUUAUCGUGAACGAGGAAUUCCUAGUAAGCACUAGUCAUCAGCUAAUGUUGAUUAUGUCCCUGCCCUUUGUACACACCGCCCGUCGCUACUACUGAUUGGGUGUUCAAGUGAGAUGCUUAGACCCUUGUUGCAUGGUUCAUUAUUGUGCUCCGAAAGGAAAAAGUUUCAAGCUUGAGUGUCUAGAGGAAGUAAAGGUCGUAACA